rnacentral:rRNA from 1 species
GACGAACGCUGGCGGCGUGCCUAAUACAUGCAAGUAGAACGCACAGUUUAUACCGUAGCUUGCUACACCAUAGACUGUGAGUUGCGAACGGGUGAGUAACGCGUAGGUAACCUGCCUGGUAGCGGGGGAUAACUAUUGGAAACGAUAGCUAAUACCGCAUAAUAUUAAUUAUUGCAUGAUAAUUAAUUGAAAGGUGCAAUUGCACCACUACCAGAUGGACCUGCGUUGUAUUAGCUAGUAGGUGAGGUAACGGCUCACCUAGGCGACGAUACAUAGCCGACCGGAGAGGGUGAUCGGCCACACUGGGACUGGGACACGGCCCAGACUCCUACGGGAGGCAGCAGUAGGGAAUCUUCGGCAAUGGACGAAAGUCUGACCGAGCAACGCCGCGUGAGUGAAGAAGGUUUUCGGAUCGUAAAGCUCUGUUGUAAGAGAAGAACGGGUGUGAGAGUGGAAAGUUCACACUGUGACGGUAUCUUACCAGAAAGAGACGGCUAACUACGUG